GGGGUUGUGGCUCAGUGGUAGAGCGCUCACCUCUCAUGUGUGAGACCUGGGUUCGAUCCUCAGCACCACUU
rnacentral:tRNA from 1 species